rnacentral:rRNA from 1 species
UGCCUCAGUAACGGCGAGUGAAGCGGCAACAGCUCAAAUUUGAAAUCUGGCCUCACGGUCCGAGUUGUAAUUUGUAGAGGAUGCUUUUGGCGAGGUGCUUUCCGAGUUCCCUGGAACGGGACGCCAUAGAGGGUGAGAGCCCCGUACGGUAAGACCACCGAGCCUCUGUAAAGCUCCUUCGACGAGUCGAGUAGUUUGGGAAUGCUGCUCUAAAUGGGAGGUGUACGUCUUCUAAAGCUAAAUACCGGCCAGAGACCGAUAGCGCACAAGUAGAGUGAUCGAAAGAUGAAAAGCACUUUGAAAAGAGGGUUAAAAAGUACGUGAAAUUGUUGAAAGGGAAGCAUUCAUGACCAGACUUGGGCUUGGUUGAACAUCCGGCGUUCUCGCCGGUGCACUCUGCCAGUCCAGGCCAGCAUCAGUUUGCCCCGGGGGACAAAGGCGGUGGGAAUGUGGCUCCCUUCGGGGAGUGUUAUAGCCCGCCGUGUAAUGCCCUGGGGCGGACUGAGGAACGCGCUUCGGCACGGAUGCUGGCGUAAUGGUCAUCAAUGACCCGUCUUGAAACACGGACCAAGGAGUCGUCUUCGUAUGCGAGUGUUCGGGUGUCAAACCCCUACGCGUAAUGAAAGUGAACGUAGGUGAGAGCUUCGGCGCAUCACCGACCGAUCCUGAUGUUCUCGGAUGGAUU